GCUCUGGGAUAGCUCAGUCAGUAGAGCAUGAGACUCUUAAUCUCAGGGUCCUGGGUUUGAGCCUCACCUUGGGCA